rnacentral:rRNA from 1 species
AAAAAAGAGAAGGAAACCGACCCCUCCUCCUUUUUCCACUCGAUUCUUUCUUGCUGCACAAGAAGAGCGCCGCCUCGCUCGCCUUAAUCCGCAACCACCCCCGCCCACAGAGGCACCCAAACCUCGCGCGCCCGCAGCCUCCUCCCCCUCGGUUCCGCAGAAUCGGGCGAGCUCGCCGACGGGACUGCUCCGGCCGCCUCGCUCACUCGCUCGCUCGCCGCCGUCGCGCCAUGGCCACGCCGCUGGUAGCUGGGCUGUCGGUAGCUGCUGCUGCGAUGGGAAGCAGAUUCAUGAUUCAGGCAUGGCAGGCCUUUCGAAUCCGGGCGGCGAUGCCACGUGUGCGUAAAUUCUAUCCUGGCGGAUUUGAGAGGGAGAUGAGCAGAAGAGAAGCCGCACUGAUCCUUGGCGUAAGAGAACGUGCUGCACUGGACAAGAUAAAGGAGGCCCACAAGAGGGUAAUGGUAGCCAACCACCCUGAUGGUGGUGGCAGCCAUUACAUUGCUUCCAAGAUAAACGAGGCCAAGGACAUGCUCAUGGGGAAGGGGAAAUCCGGCUCCAUUUUUUAGCCAGUGUAUACGAGAUGGAAGUUAUUUUGGAUUGAUCAUGAUGAGGUAGUGAUUUGCUUUCCAUUGGCAUCAUUAACAUUGUUGUGCUGACACCGUGCAUCUGAACAAAGGUACACGUUAUGGAAACCGAGUGACUUAAUUAUGUGGCUGAUGUAAGUUUACCCAGAGGCUUCAGUUAUUAUGCUAACCUUCUGUUGUGACCAUUGGGCUGUCUUGCUCGAAAGAUUGUACAUUUGGGGCUUAUUGCUUACUGAUAUGCGUGUGUGCUAUCAGUUUGUUUCUCAUUGUUUCCAUUGUUUAAUGUCAUCGUUGAUAAGAACAUAAACUGUUCACGAUCGAAUUGUCAGAAGAUGUGUCAUACAUCAGGUUGAUCUUAUCUCUAUUGUAACAAUUCUUCGG